AUUAUUUUAACAAAUGUAAAAAAAAAUGAGCUAAGGUAGCUCUUUAAAGCUAAAAUAAAUGAGGCAAUAUAAAAGGGACUAAAAUAAUUUGUGGUGAACAAAAAAGUGGUAAUCAAAUAAAUGAAUAUAAUGGCAAAAUAAUGAGCUUAUUACACUUUAGCACCUGAGAAUAGCACCUUGAUUAUUUUAACAAUUGUGAAUAUAUGAACUAAGGGACUAUAUUAAGUAAUGGUAAACAAAGUUAAAAUGACAGAUAGUCACUAUGAUAUAAUGUUGAUUUUAAAGGGACACGAGAAAUAAAGCUCUCUGGACAGAUAUUUUGUGUGACAGGGGUCCAGUUACUCUCAAGCUGGUCAUAGUGGCAUUAAAAACCCAAGAAGGGAG